AUUGAACGCUGGCGGCAUGCCUUACACAUGCAAGUCGAACGGCAGCACGGAGCUUGCUCUGGUGGCGAGUGGCGAACGGGUGAGUAAUAUAUCGGAACGUACCCAAGAGUGGGGGAUAACGUAGCGAAAGUUACGCUAAUACCGCAUACGAGCUAAGGAUGAAAGCAGGGGACCGCAAGGCCUUGUGCUCCUGGAGCGGCCGAUAUCUGAGUAGGUAGUUGGUGAGGUAAAGGCUCACCAAGGCAUCGAUCAGUAGCUGGUCUGAGAGGACGACCAGCCACACUGGAACUGAGACACGGUCCAGACUCCUACGGGAGGCAGCAGUGGGGAAUUUUGGACAAUGGGGGCAACCCUGAUCCAGCAAUGCCGCGUGAGUGAAGAAGGCCUUCGGGUUGUAAAGCUCUUUUGUCAGGGAAGAAACGGUCGUGGCUAAUAUCCAUGGCUAAUGACGGUACCUGAAGAAUAAGCACCGGCUAAUUACGUGCCAGCAGCCGCGGUAAAAC
rnacentral:rRNA from 1 species